rnacentral:lncRNA from 1 species
UUAGAUUGUCGUUGGAGGAACUAUUUUGGAGAUGGUGUGCGAUGACCCGAGGCGAUGAGUGUAUUUGGUUUCGCACAGUUUGCGAAGGUCCGGAAGGAUUUAGCGGUGAAUUUGCAGGAUCGUUGUGCUAAAGUUGCGUCGUCUUCUGGUUCCUCUUGUUUUUUUGUUCUAUCAUGGAAAUUUGUUGAUGUUUCUUGGAGCUGCAGUUUCUGUUUUAGAUCGGCGCAGCCCAUCUCUUGGAGUGUUUAUAUUCUCAACUCAGCUGAGUUUGAACAAGGACCACAUUUUUCUAUUCAGCCCUGAACAUUGGGAUACCGUAUCUAGGGGAGAGGAAGAAGCAUUUCUCACCUAAAUUUCGCCUUCGUUUUUCUCUCCGUGCAGCCACAGCAGCCCAUCACUUCUUUUCGAUAAUUCCAAGUUACUAGAGUUGGUUGUUGAGUUUUUCUUUUAUUGUAGUUUUAAAAGUGCACCGAAUUCGCAGUUUAAUUGCUGAGUAAGCCGUGCCUCUGUUGUGAUUAGGGAGGGUCAGGGUUGGAGUGUCCUAUAACCUCUGACACAGCCCACGGAGAUGUAUAACCGGCGUGGAAGAUCAUUAAUAACGUGCAUUCAUACGUCGUGAUAUGGCACGAGGUGAUUGAAACGGCGGAUGUUUCGUUCGGAGAUGCCACCAAAGAGGAAUUCGUCCACCACGUCUUUCCCCUCAAUGAUGAAGUGAUCACGAAUUUUAAGCAUAUUUUUCUGGUAUUAACCACAUCCAUUAUAAUGGUUUUGUAAAUUUAUAGAUCAUACACGUCUCGUCUUGUAGCACCGAGAAGAGAAGUGAAGAGAAGAUCAAGAGGCUCACUGUGGGUGAGAAUCUCGGUGACGUUGAAAGAGCCUGUUUCUUCGUUUGCUUCAAACUUGCAUCCAGUGAGUGCUUGUAUUUACUCUGUUGUGUAAGAAGAUCGAUCUAAAACCCC